CAGUCGCCGCGGGAAUACCAGCACCUCGAGUGGUCAGGAGGUUUAUUGGGCCUAAAGCAUCCGUAGCCGGUUGCAUAAGUUUUCGGUUAAAUCUAUGCGCUUAACGUAUAGGCCGCCGAAAAUACUGUGCAGCUAGGGAGUGGGAGAGGUACACGGUACUCGAUAGGAAGGGGUAAAAUCCUUUGAUCUAUUGAUGACCACCUGUGGCGAAGGCGGUGUACCAGAACACGUUCGACGGUGAGGGAUGAAAGCUGGGGGAGCAAACCGGAUUAGAUACCCGGGUAGUCCCUGUCUCUUAUAC
rnacentral:rRNA from 1 species